rnacentral:lncRNA from 1 species
AUGAGCCUCAUUCUGAGCAUAUCGCAUCAACGCCUCAAUCUGCCUUUGGGUAGGCAGCUCACUCGUGGGCUCGCUCAGUGUCAUGUGGUGCAUUUGAUGUGUCAGGGAGUUCCUCCGCCACGCGUACCAGCCUCUCCGGGAUCCAGCGCGGCGCUUCGGCAUCCUGUGGAAAAACACAAACAUGCCCGCGUCCCCAUAUUAAUACAGGGUCUGGCCCAUACCACAGAUUGGAGAGACUCCAGGUGCAAGGAGCACCAGCAGCCAGGAGAACAUGUUGGCAAGUGGACAUGUGUACUAGAUGACAACAUGGGGACAAGGACAUGGAUAGAAAGAAAGGAGAGUGGAAAGAAUACUGGGAAAGCAUUUGAGGCCCGGCAACUAGUCAUGACGCCAACAGACUGUGACAGGGAGAAUGUUACCAACCACUUCGACUGUAAUUUAUCUGGGUAGUUUGCUCCUUUACUGAAGAAGGGGGAAUAGGUAAGCUCUAAUGUCACUGACAGCUUUAAAAACUCUAAACUAUCAUGAGUUUACACUUUAGUCUCACCCCUAGACCAGAAAUUUCUUCCCUUAAAACUAUCUCACUUAAGACUUUACAGACUCCCUCAAGAAAACUGUCCCUACUGUAUUCUCUAUCCUCAGAAGUUAAAGGAUUUAACAAUUCACCAUUAAGUGCUUACCAUUCUGAACUUCAAGAUUCUUGGAAAAGGAAUGUCAUACUACAU